AAACCCUCAAGCCCCCGGCUUGGUGUUGGGUGCCUGUCCCCGCUCCCCGCGCGGACUCACCCCAAAUGCAUUGGCAGCCGCCUCUCGGCUUCUUGCGCAGCACAGUGCGCAGCGAGGCGAGGUGAGGCGUGCGUCCAGCAAGCAACCACCCAA
rnacentral:misc_RNA from 2 species